rnacentral:precursor_RNA from 10 species
UGAUUGAUUCGUCUUUUCGUCGAGUGGUGGCCUCGUUCCGCUUGAGUUGUGAUGACAGAUUCACUGAUGCAUCACAACCAACGUGAAUGCGGUCAGCACUCAACGACCUUCGCCUCAUCGCCAC